AGGACUAACGCUGGCGGCGUGCCUAACACAUGCAAGUCGAACGAACGUAGCAAUACGUUAGUGGCAGACGGGUGAGUAACACGUAGUCAACCUACCUCUAAGUGGGGGAUAACCAGCCGAAAGGUUAGCUAAUACCGCAUACGAUCGUCGAGUGGCAUCACUUGACGAUGAAAGGAGCAAUCCGCUGAGAGACGGGACUGCGUCCCAUUAGUUAGUUGGUGGGGUAACGGCCUACCAAGACUUCUAUGGGUAGCUGGCUUGAGAGAGCGACCAGCCACACUGGAACUGAGACACGGUCCAGACUCCUACGGGAGGCAGCAGUGAGGAAUUUUCCGCAAUGGGGGAAACCCUGACGGAGCGACGCCGCGUGUGGGAAGAAGGCCUUCGGGUCGUAAACCACUGUCGAAGGGGACGAUAUUGACGGUACCCUUGGAGGAAGCCCCGGCUAACUCUGUGUCAGCAGCCGC
rnacentral:rRNA from 1 species